rnacentral:misc_RNA from 1 species
GAUGAAGAACGUAGCAAAAUGCGAUACUUGGUGUGAAUUGCAGAAUCCCGUGAACCAUCGAGUCUUUGAACGCAAGUUGCGCCCGAAGCCAUUAGGCCGAGGGCACGCCUGCCUGGGCGUCACACGUCGUUGCCCCCCAUCUACUCCUUCGGGAUUGCGGGGGGCGGAUGAUGGCCUCCCGUGCGCCUCGUCGCGCGGUUGGCAUAAAUGCCAAGUCCUCGGCGACGCACGCCACGACAAUCGGUGGUUGCGAAACCUCGGUUGCCCGUCAUGUGCGGUGGUCGCGCAUCGAGGGCUCGAAAAAAUUGCCGGGCUCCGGCUCGGCUUUCAACGCGACCCCAGGUCAGGCGGGGUUACCCGCUGAAUUUAAGCAUAUCAAUAAGCGGAGGA